rnacentral:rRNA from 1 species
UACGGGGGAUGCGAGCGUUGUCCGGAUUCACUGGGCGUAAAGGGCGCGUAGGCGGCCCGGUCAGUCGGCGCUCUAAGUGCGGGGCUCAACCCCGUGAUGGCGCCGGGACGGCCGGGCUGGGGCGCGGCAGAGGGAGACGGAAUGCCGGGUGUAGUGGUGAAAUGCGUAGAGAUCCGGCGGAACACCGGUGGCGAAGGCGGUCUCCUGGGCCGAGGGCCGGCGCUGAGGCGCGAGAGCGUGGGGAGCGAACCGG